rnacentral:snRNA from 1 species
GUAUGUUACGGUGGUACAUAUUCUAAAAUUGGAACGAUACAGAGAAAAUUAGUGUGGCCCCUGCGCAAGGAUGACACGCAAAUUCUUUAAGCGUUCCAUAGUUUU